UGAAUGCAAGGACCAUGUUUUUUUGACAUGUAUAAAUUUGAACGAAACAACACUCUUACUUCAUAUGGAGCUGACAUAGAAAGUAGUAUUAGCUUACCGGGUGUUGCUCAUGAUUAUACGAGAUUUAUUUGUCGUGGAUCCAGAUGAAGUGAAAGAACGUUAUCAUGGAAGUCAUAUUUGUUGUCGCUUAACAAUUUAUGAAGUGGAAUUUAUUAUGAAAUAAUUAUAGGAAUCUUUCUUAUUACUUGGAAUGAUUGAUUUAUUAUUGUAUUGAGUAUGAUAGAUUGAAAUUAUAAUAUUCACAUUUGAUUG